rnacentral:rRNA from 1 species
GUUUGAUCAUGGCUCAGAUUGAACGCUGGCGGCAGGCCUAACACAUGCAAGUCGAACGGUAACAGGAAGCAGCUUGCUGCUUUGCUGACGAGUGGCGGACGGGUGAGUAAUGUCUGGGAAACUGCCUGAUGGAGGGGGAUAACUACUGGAAACGGUGGCUAAUACCGCAUAACGUCGCAAGACCAAAGAGGGGGACCUUCGGGCCUCUUGCCAUCAGAUGUGCCCAGAUGGGAUUAGCUAGUUGGUGAGGUAACGGCUCACCAAGGCGACGAUCCCUAGCUGGUCUGAGAGGAUGACCAGCCACACUGGAACUGAGACACGGUCCAGACUCCUACGGGAGGCAGCAGUGGGGAAUAUUGCACAAUGGGCGCAAGCCUGAUGCAGCCAUGCCGCGUGUAUGAAGAAGGCCUUCGGGUUGUAAAGUACUUUCAGCGGGGAGGAAGGUGUUGUGGUUAAUAACCGCAGCAAUUGACGUUACCCGCAGAAGAAGCACCGGCUAACUCCGUGCCAGCAGCCGCGGUAAUACGGAGGGUGCAAGCGUUAAUCGGAAUUACUGGGCGUAAAGCGCACGCAGGCGGUCUGUCAAGUCGGAUGUGAAAUCCCCGGGCUCAACCUGGGAACUGCAUUCGAAACUGGCAGGCUUGAGUCUUGUAGAGGGGGGUAGAAUUCCAGGUGUAGCGGUGAAAUGCGUAGAGAUCUGGAGGAAUACCGGUGGCGAAGGCGGCCCCCUGGACAAAGACUGACGCUCAGGUGCGAAAGCGUGGGGAGCAAACAGGAUUAGAUACCCUGGUAGUCCACGCCGUAAACGAUGUCUACUUGGAGGUUGUGCCCUUGAGGCGUGGCUUCCGGAGCUAACGCGUUAAGUAGACCGCCUGGGGAGUACGGCCGCAAGGUUAAAACUCAAAUGAAUUGACGGGGGCCCGCACAAGCGGUGGAGCAUGUGGUUUAAUUCGAUGCAACGCGAAGAACCUUACCUGGUCUUGACAUCCACAGAACUUUCCAGAGAUGGAUUGGUGCCUUCGGGAACUGUGAGACAGGUGCUGCAUGGCUGUCGUCAGCUCGUGUUGUGAAAUGUUGGGUUAAGUCCCGCAACGAGCGCAACCCUUAUCCUUUGUUGCCAGCGAUUAGGUCGGGAACUCAAAGGAGACUGCCAGUGAUAAACUGGAGGAAGGUGGGGAUGACGUCAAGUCAUCAUGGCCCUUACGACCAGGGCUACACACGUGCUACAAUGGCGCAUACAAAGAGAAGCGACCUCGCGAGAGCAAGCGGACCUCAUAAAGUGCGUCGUAGUCCGGAUUGGAGUCUGCAACUCGACUCCAUGAAGUCGGAAUCGCUAGUAAUCGUGGAUCAGAAUGCCACGGUGAAUACGUUCCCGGGCCUUGUACACACCGCCCGUCACACCAUGGGAGUGGGUUGCAAAAGAAGUAGGUAGCUUAACCUUCGGGAGGGCGCUUACCACUUUGUGAUUCAUGACUGGGGUGAAGUCGUAACAAGGUAACCGUAGGGGAACCUGCGGUUGGAUCACCUCCUUACCUUAAAGAA